UACGGAGGGGGCUAGCGUUGCUCGGAAUCACUGGGCGUAAAGCGCACGUAGGCGGAUCUUUAAGUCAGGGGUGAAAUCCUGGAGCUCAACUCCAGAACUGCCCUUGAUACUGAAGAUCUUGAGUUCGGGAGAGGUGAGUGGAACUGCGAGUGUAGAGGUGAAAUUCGUAGAUAUUCGCAAGAACACCAGUGGCGAAGGCGGCUCACUGGCCCGAUACUGACGCUGAGGCACGAAAGCGUGGGGAGCAAACAGG
rnacentral:rRNA from 1 species